UAAUAAAAGAUGAUAAUUGAGGCUUCUAAGUCUAGCCACAUCAGCUUAAAUCAAGUUUCUUUUAAGCUUGCCACGUGUCAUGGGCUAAUAAUGCUCUAUCUUCUUUGAGAAAUCGUUCUCGUGUGUGAUACCAAAUCUCCAAUCAAAAGAUGCCACAUGAUCACACAUCAUCUCCUCUCCUCGUCGCUUCGUUUUCCAAGAUGCCAUGUCAGCCAUUUGAUUUCUCCUCGGGUUUGCGACGUCACCAAGAAGCCCUACCUGGACGUUUCCCUUCCUCCGUUUAACGCUCUUGGCCAGGGCACUUGAAACGCCAUCUAUUUAUCUUAUAAAAGAGUGUUAGGUCGUCAUUCUGUCUCCACUCUCGAUAGAUCAAUAAUUUUAGACGCAUGGAUGCUCUCCUUUUUUGGGUUUACAAAUGAUUAGGUAUAGAAGGAUGUGGAGAUGGGAUCAUGGGACUCACGAAUUGUUAUUGAUCUAAUAAUUGUUUCAGUUUUGAAAUAUGGUUUCAGUUCGGUUUAUCAAUCUCCGACGUAGCCAGAAUCGCCAGGUAGCUUGCGCUUGGUAAACACGUGUAUUAAAGUCUUGCAUUUGGAGAACUUCUAUAAGUCCCGGCCAAAAAAGGCUUUCAGGCCAGAGAAUCAUUUGACUCCCUCUUCGUCGGAGUAACGUACAAGUUCUACAUAGAAACCUUAUAUCAACACUUGAACUUUUAUUAUAUAAUUUCCUAUGACAAAGAUGUGAUGCAUAUAUAAAUGGUAUGUACUGUUAUGCAAGGAACUCCUUUUUUAUAAUCUCCUUCAGUUUGUUGCAUGCAAAA